CCGUGGCUCCGCCGGCACCGGGACCGGGACCGGGACAUGGAGCUGGACCGGGAUCGGGACUGGAGCUGGACCGGGACCGGGACAACGACGGGGACUGGCCGUGCGAGGUCGCGGGGCUCUCGGCCGGGGCCGCUCCCGGCAGGAACCGCGGCCGCUGUGCCGGGAGCGCAGGCGCGGAGCCGGGAGCGGCGAUGGCGGAGCUCGGGGAGCGGCGGGGCCCGCGGCACCGGGCUCGGAGGAUGAGGAAGGCAGCCCUGCCGAGGAGGAUGAGGAGCUGUGGGAGGAUGGAGAGAGCGGCCACCAAAGGCUGGGGACGGCUCAAGUCCAGGCUCUGGAUGAAGUCCUUCCUUUCCCAAGGGAGGGGAAAGCCCGUAGGAUGUGAACCAGAGGUGGUGCUUUAGGAAAGCCCCUCCAGCCUGGGAAGGUGCUUUUGGCUCCAGACACAUUCCCAGAGCCCAGGAGCAGCAGGAGCUGUGCUGUGCCCAGCAGAGAAAAGCUGCCAAGGAAUAAAGCAAGAGCUUUCCCCAGUGAAAACCUGCCCAGUCCCAUGCUGGGUUUCCACACACACAAGGUUCAAUCCCUGCUGGAAUCCCAGUCACAGCCUCCAGAUCAAUGUGCAGUUUAAGGUCUCACAGCCUGACCAGGACAAUCUCUUGCCUCUGGACAUGGAAAAUCAAUUUUUCGUUGUUACAGCACCAGCUCCAGGAUCCUCUGAGGCUGAAACAAAGACAAGGAACCUUCUGAGAUGGAAAGAGCCAGAGCAACUUGUUGUGGGAAAGGAAAAGGAAAGAUGCAGGGAAACAUUUAAGCAAGAGGUGCUGAAAAGAAUUGGAGUUUCUGAUUUUGAGUCUCCAACUUCAAAUCCCCCUGGAUUGUCACCGGUCCAACUUGCAUGGACUGGUCACCGUGGCCAGGAGUGUCCAGUCCUGCUGGAAUGCACUGGAGCAGGAUGUCAUUUUCCUUUUGUGCUGGUAAAGACCCUCUGGGUGACCCCCAGUGACUGGAAGGACCAGACUGGGCUCCCAGGGCACUAAUUCCAGGGGUUCUGUUUUUGGGAAUAGCACAGGAGCCGUUCCCUUGCCCAGAGGAGCAGCCAGUGCCUCCCUUAGUCCACAAAUCCCCAGGACUGACCACAGAGAAAAUGACAGGAAUGUGGAAAUCGCCCGCACUGGGAGUUUGUGGUGCUCUGGAUGACAUCUUGGAUUUUUAAUGUUAAAGGGGGUGUGGAAUGAAUUCUCUCCUUUUUAUUGUCAUUGUUAUCACUGCUCUUGUUGCUAUCACUGCUACAUG